rnacentral:rRNA from 1 species
UACGUAGGGUGCAAGCGUUAUCCGGAAUUAUUGGGCGUAAAGAGCUCGUAGGCGGUUUGUCGCGUCUGCUGUGAAAACUGGGGGCUCAACCCCCAGCCUGCAGUGGGUACGGGCAGACUAGAGUUCGGUAGGGGAGACUGGAAUUCCUGGUGUAGCGGUGAAAUGCGCAGAUAUCAGGAGGAACACCGGUGGCGAAGGCGGGUCUCUGGGCCGAUACUGACGCUGAGGAGCGAAAGCGUGGGGAGCGAACAGG